rnacentral:rRNA from 1 species
CAGUCGCCACGGUAAAACGUAGGUGGCAAGCGUUGUCCGGAAUUAUUGGGCGUAAAGGGCUCGCAGGCGGUUUCUUAAGUCUGAUGUGAAAGCCCCCGGCUCAACCGGGGAGGGUCAUUGGUAACUGGGAAACUUGAGUGCAGAAGAGGAGAGUGGAAUUCCACGUGUAGCGGUGAAAUGCGUAGAGAUGUGGAGGAACACCAGUGGCGAAGGCGACUCUCUGGUCUGUAACUGACGCUGAGGAGCGAAAGCGUGGGGAGCGAACAGGAUUAGAUACCCCUGUAGUCCCUGUCUCUUAUAC